UGCUGUCUGCGCUGUCUGCGCGCUGCUGUCUGCGCUGUAUGCGCGCUGCUGACUGCGCUGUAUGCGCGCUACUGUCUGCGCGCUGCUGUCUGCGCUGUCUGCGCGCUGCGGUCUGGUGGUCGCGCAGGCAACCGCCUGACGCGGGUGCACAACACGCACGCUGUGUGCGCAUGAUGCGCGCUACCGUUGGCCAUAGACGGCUGACGUGGAAGAUGCAUCGAGGGGCAUUCACAAGUACUUCAAACCGCUCUCGACGGGAUCUCACGCAGAAAUGCGAUGAGUGGCUUUGACUUUCAUUCAUAACUUUAUUAAUUUGUUUGAAUGCUAACAAAGAUUUUGAAGUGCUGAGUUUUGGAUUGCCUAGAGCGUGGUGUUGAAGACGUUGCGGUCGAGGACGUCACGCCGUCAGGAAAGGCCGUGUUACAAAUAUAACUCCGAGCCUCAGAAUAAUAACAGGAAGCAAUCGUAUUUACACCGCGACGACGUACUCUGUGGUCGGCAGAUAAGCCAUGGCGGGAAACGUCAAAAAGGAGAUGUCAAUGUCAUUGUCAAGAAAGGGGGGAGUUGAUUUGAAUAUGGAGUCGUGUUCUUGUAUUUUCUGAUUUAAUUUGUUUGUUAUCGAUAUAAAUCCUCAUGUUUUCAAGUUGUA